rnacentral:rRNA from 1 species
UACGGGGGGGGCAAGCGUUGUUCGGAAUCACUGGGCGUAAAGGGUGCGUAGGCGGCGAGGAAAGUCAGAUGUGAAAUCCGAGGGCUCAACCCCUCGAAUAGCAUCCGAUACUUCCCCCGCUCGAGAUUUGUAGAGGAGUCUGGAACUCUCGGUGUAGCAGUGAAAUGCGUGGAUAUCGAGAAGAACGCUCGUAGCGAAGGCGAGGCUCUGGGCAAGUUCUGACGCUGAGGCACGAAGGCUAGGGAGCAAACGGGAUUGAGAA